rnacentral:lncRNA from 1 species
GAAUAACUAGUAUUCCAUCAUCCUGAGAGAGAAUCAGAACAGAGGAGAUAAGGGCUUAACACACAAUAAAAUUAACAAAGCCUGUCGAUCAUUUCAUAAUAGAAAUAGGAAUACCUUGAAUGUCUUCUGAUGUAAUAAAUUUAGGACACAUAUUGGACUACUAAUUUACUCUCCAUUGAAAUGAAAUGAAAAUAAAUGCUAUAUUGGACUACUAAUUUACUCUCCAUUCCCCUAACAAGUCAAGAAAAUUCAAUACUAUAACUUGCAAAAUUUACUUAUAGUGACGAAUAACAGUGACACACAUACACACAACAUCAUACUGGAGUAAAACAUUAUAAGAAAGUGUAUUUGUAUUCAGAAUAUAUUUUGUAUAUAUAUUAUGGAUUUAAUUCUAUCAUUCUAUAAUUUCUUUUUGCUUUUUUACAAUCCUUGUUAAAUUAUAAUCUAUUCAUUUUUGUAACUAUUUCAUUCAAAAUGCUUACAUAUUUUUUUAUAAGUAUUUGCACAAUAAUACCAUGAUUACUUCCUUAUCAUAUAUAUUGUGAUUCAUUCAUGAAUAUUUCAUUUAUUUAAUUUCUUUCUAAUUUAUAUUUGAACAUGAAUAGUAUUAUUAACACUAAAAAACUUUACCUAUAAAUAAAACAAUUUAAUGAUAAAUCAAAUCAUGGAAAAUUAAAAGCUAUUUUAGUUUUCAGUUUUUUUUUUGUUUUUUUGUUUUUUUCUAAAUAAUAUGUAAUACGACACUGUGCAUUGCACAUAUCACCGUACUAGUUUUAACAUCUGAAACUUGAUAACAUUAAGCUAGAGCAUUACUGACAAAUUAAUGCAGAUAUUACAGUACCUUUAGCAAACGUUGGAAAGCAACCCGCAUUUCAGUUCUUACUUUAUACAAGGUUUUCAUACGAUCAUGUGUACUAUUCAUGGCUGAAUUAAUACGCUUGGACACAGUACGUCCUAACCUGGGUUUGACUGAUUUAAACCACUUUUCAUGAUUGGUUUUGAAUUCAUAUCUGAAGAGCAGAAGCAAAAUUGCAAUACAGGGUUAUAUAAGACCCUAAAAAAAUCUAAAAUGCAAUAUCUUUAUUAAAAAAGGGAAAUGAUUCAUCAACCAUAUGGAAACAUAAAGUAUAACAUAACAUAAAUUCAAUAGUAAAACUCUAAAGGAUAAAUUAGCAUACCCUUGUAAGGAAAACAUAACCGAAGUGAGAUCUUUCAAUAUAGAUACUGCAUUUUGUUGGUGUGUCAAUUUAUCACGAAACCCCUUUAAACUGGGAACAUUAGAGGCAAUAUACUGGCAAAUAUUCAUAUGCUGCGGGGACUGAUCUGCAAAACCAAUUGGACCAAAAGACUUCAUUGAUCAUAAUACACACAAAUUUCCUUUUAUCAUGUCAAGACAUUCAAAGUUUUGCCACUCACUGUAUUAACAAUCAACCAUACAACAAUAGCAACAAAAGCCUUUUCCCACCAGAUAUUAACAAUCAAGUGAAUCAGCCAUAAAAAGUAAAUUAAUAUGCAUAAAGGAGUCAUAAAUUGGUCUUCGAAGGUAAAGAAACUUACAACCAGACAAAUUUUCAAUUGCUCUGUGAAUAAUAUAUACUGUUUUCUGUGAAGGAACUUUAGAUAGUUGAAAAAGAUCAUCAGCAAAAAUAAUACGCCUUGUCCUUUUGAGCUCCACCAAAUUCUUUGGAAGUAAAACAAGUCCAACAUGAUGUAGGACAGAACUAUCCCGAGCAAACCAUCCUACAAUAUGCAAUGAGGCAAUAAACAAUUAAAGAAGAAAAUAUUAAAAAAAAUUGUGUGCAAAUUAAAUGAAAACAGUGGAAUCCCAUUUCAACCCAAUGAGCAGUAAUUUAUAAUUAAGGUAAGGUAACCAUAUGUUACGCUGGGAUGUCAGACCAAGACCAAACAAGGCAUGUUACACUAUAGAAACUGGAAAGCAAUACCGAAUUCAAUGGUUUGAAAGAGAUUAAAGGUAUAUGUGGAUAUUUCAAAUAAAUAAAACCUCGUAAUACAUGAAAAAAUUAAAAGCAUAGUGACAAAAUCACACAAUCAAGCUUCAUACCAACAGUGUCCAAGCUUUGUGCAUUUGGAAGAACUCCAAUGGUGGAUACAAUCCCAUGAGAUGGUCGAAACCCAAGAAUACCACAGAAUGCUGCGGGAAUUCUCACACAUCCUGUUGUAUCGGUACCUACAAAAGCAGAUACAUUAGAGAGAAAACAAUGCAAAUGAUUUUUAUGAGCACAAAGUAAUUGUAAUGUGUAUGUUUUUAUCAACCCUGAUAUGGAUUAAAGAAAGUGAGAAACUAUGCAGAGCAAGCCAUGCUGUAACAAUACAUGAAUGAGAUCACAAUAAUAUAGUACGAGCCGGAAUCCUGAAAUUGUGAAUACAACUAUCAAAAUAUAAUGUGUAGAUCCCCACAACCAUGGAACUGAAAUUUUAAUAAGUGUCAGCAAAGUAAAAUUCAUUUCACGACUGUAUAAGACCAAAUAAUACACACAAACGAACACUUUCCGCUUUCCAGGAAUACAUUUGAACACAAGAACAAUCCCAAUGUCCUAAACAAAAUAAAAGCGACGUUUGUUUAUUAUAUUGAAUAGGAAAGCUAAUAAGUGAGAAUACAUACACACAUUGAGAAAAUGGCAAUUUCAAAUGAACGGUAACUUGACAAGCAAGUAAACUAAACUCACCAAUAGCAAAGUCAACGAGGCCAGCAGCGACAGCAACAGCCGAACCACUGGAAGAACCGCCAGGGAUGGAUGAGGGCAAGUAAGGAUUGGUUGGCGUUCCAUAAAACUUGUUCUCACCGGAAAUCCUGCAAAGCCGACGACGAAUGCCACCAACAAACGAGGAAAGAAAACGAGUUCAGAAUCAAAAGGUUAAUAAAUAUAUCUCAAUGAUAAAGAACUGAUACACACUAACACUUAUUACAUACCCAAAAGAGAAUUCAUCCAUAACAGUCUUGCCAACGCAAGUAGCACCGCUGGAGAGGAGAGCAGUGAUGACAAUGGCAGUCUUCCCAGCUUCACUGUGCGUCCUCUUCCAAUGUGGGUUCCCAAACCCCGUCACAUACCCCUUCACAUCGAAUCUGCCGCAAACACGCAAUCACCACAACUCGUUUAGAAUCAGUACGCAAAAAUAUUUGAAGCAGAGAGAAAUAAAGAAAUGAAGGACGAAACGAACAUGUCUUUGAUGGCGAAGGUUAGGGCAGAGAGCGCUUGUGUUUGCGUUUGCGUUUGCGUUUGAUCGGGUUGAGGAAUGGGGAGAAGUUGGAAACGCUCUACCAAUGCACCGAAGUCCUCUUUGGAGAGCUUCCGCCGUCGCCUCCUGCGGGUCUCGGCGAGAACGACGGCGCCGGCGAGUCCUACUCCGAUGAGGAGCCAGAGCUUAGGGUUGGAGAGCUUGAGCUUGAAGGAUUUAGACAUGAUCGCGAAUGUGAUGUGACGAUACAGAGCACUCCCAAUGAAAGGGUUUUAGAGAAAGGAGGGAAUGUCACCGCUAUCAUGCGCCGCUCCCAAAUAAACAUUCGCGCGAUUCUCUUUCUUUUUCUUUUUCUUGUUUAUUGGACAUACUCUACUUAUUUCUAUACUACCAUAAAACAUCCACAAAUCACUUCAUGAAUAAUUAAUUUAUAACUCCUUUAUUUUAAAAUAAUUCUCUUUCAAAAUUGUGUCACAUUAAUUGAGAAAUAUUUAAAUGAUAUAAAUUUAUAAGCAAAUCUGUUUAAAAUCUUUUUCAUGUCAAGGAUCUGUAUUAACUGUUAUUAUAUAUAUAAAAAAAAAACAUAUUGAGUGAGAAUUCUUAAUUAAAAUUGGAAAUAAAAACUAUAAGCAGAGGAUGAAAUAAUUAAUAAAAACCUUUUUUGAAUAAUAAAAGCUGAUAGUCUAUGUGUUCUUAUUCAAAAAGACUGAGAUAACUCAUGAACAAUUCAUUCUUUCAAAAUUUGGUAAAAUAAUUACUUAAUAAUAAUGUAAUUUUUUUUGAAAAUUGUGCUUAUUUAUAUGUUCACAGUGGGUCAUGUUAGUGUUAGGUCAAGAUUUACGUAUGAAUUGUGAUUAAUGAUGUAUUAUCUAGUUAUUCAUUCGACUUAACCUAGUUAAUAUUUUAUUGAUUAUAAUACAUUUUAAACAUGUCAAUCGAUCAAAAUUGGAUACCGAAAUUUGUGAGACUUGUGGUUUUCACUGGUACGAUAUAAUUGUGAACUUUAUAUUUUAAACAUGAGAAUGGAUAACUAAAAGUGCAUUUCCUUUUCCUUGGGGCAUAUCCUUUCCUAGUAUCUCAAUUAGUACUUCCUCUUCACUCAUUUUCCUUGUAUCAAUAAAAGAGAUUACAACAACUUCUAGUCAAAUUAUUUAAUAGCAAACAAACUUUACCCAAAGACAACGAACAGUUUAAUGGCUCAUACGUAGAACACUAGAACAUGCCACUCUCAUUUUAAAUCAUCAAGAGGAUUAUCACCUUGAGAUCAAUCAUAAUUUGAAGCGUGACAAAAGUUAAAAUAUCAGUGAAAUUAGUACUUGUAGAUGAGGAAAAUGAGUUUCUAAUUUUGAACAAAAUUAAUAUUAAUUUUCUUAAUUUUGAGUUGAAAAUGAAAUUUGGAAGUUUGGAGUGGAAGAGAAGACUAAAUUGUCAUGUUCAAACGUGAUUUACAUUUAGUUGAAGUACCUAAAAGAUGUAAACAUAAAAUAAUAUUUUUUUAAAAGUGGAAAAAUAAUAUUCAAAGUAUAUUGUAAAUUUCGUUCAUAACAAACGCAUAACUCUGAUACAAAUUUAAAAGCUAUGUCCAACUUCACACUGCUCCAUGUAAUAAUGAAAAUUACAGAGAAAAAUGAUGGUAAUAAUUAAUCUACACAAACAAAUCUUGAGAUACUAAAUGGCAAGAGAGGACCUAAUUUGAAGAACUUCAAUUUUACAGAGGAAUGGGCAAAACCUACUAUGAUCACGAGAUCUCCAAACAAAUGAAAGUCUAACAUUUAUGAAAUAUAUACCAAGAAAAUAUAGGGAAUAGUUGUGUUGUGUUUUUCAUGAAUCACCCCUUGAAACGAACUACAAUGCAUGAAAUAUCAUCCUUGCUGUCUUUGUCCAAUGCCUCUGCAACCAGCUUUUUGGCUGCCUUUUGUGGAUCUUUUAUCCUUCUUGCAAUAUCAACUGCUUCUUGGUUUGCCAUUACCUGCAAUGCAACUCAUCAAAAUAUAUAACCAUUUGUAAUUCUUUACACUGUUUAUUCAAUAUUUGAAGUGCUGCAGAAAUAAUGGAUAACCUUCCAAAGACCAUCACUAGCAAGUAUCAAAAGCUCAGCAUCUGGGUUAAUAUCAGAUUGAUGUACAUCAGGAUCAGAUCGUAAGUGUGAUUUUAGAUUUUUGUCUCCAAAUGCUCGAGAAACUGCAAGCUGCCCAUUCACUCUUGCAACAUCUCCUGAUAUAAACCACUCACAAGUCAACAAACUCUUCCAAAUCACAUAUUGUUAUCUAAUUUUGAAAGAAUAAGAUAUAUUAAGAAGUGAACUUUAAACUUAAAUCAAUCUCAUAAACCAGCUUGUUUGCACCUAUAUAUAUACUAUAAAAUGUCUUAAUCUCUAGUUGAUUCGUGAGGCAUCAGAUUCUCAUUGAAGAAGAACAAUGCCUAUACUCUAUAUAAGUGAAGCUCGGUGUUAUUCCAUAAAUUUAGAAGAUAUCAUGAAUGCAACAAAAUUAAACUAUAGUAAUAGGAACCAAACAUGUAUUCCUAUUCGGUCCAUAACUUCUCUCAAGACAAUUCCACAUCUCUGAGAUUGCUUCAGAUCAAUUGAUGUGGCACCAGAAACGCUUCUUGCAGAAACAAAUGAUUCCUCAAAAAUCAAACUGAUUGGUCACAUGCAAUAUUUUUCCAAGGUUUUAAUGACUUAUUUUCUAUUAUUCAUCACCAUAUUUAUUCAGAGGGGCUCGAUUACAGCUUCUGAAAUUUCAAUCAAACUAAAAGAUUCAAACACCCAACACCAAGAAGUAUUAAACAUUAAUCCUUCACACGUAGAUAAUCACAUCUAAGAUACUAUUAUUGAAAUUGUGCAGCAUUCUGGUCAACCAUAGGACACACACAAGAAGAUUGUUCUUGCGUGGGACAACAAAAUCUUUCUGGAACAGCACAAAAAACAAGGCUUUAGUCAUGCUUAAUUGAGUAUCCUAGUUAUCAGCACUUUCUGGCACUGAGGACAAUCCCAAUCUGAUCAGUGAGUUAUUAACACUUGAGAUUGCAGCUGUAUGUGUUAUUAUGGGUGAUAUAGACACGUAGCUAACAGAUAUGAACAGUUGCAGACUUGCCAGAGUCAAAGUCAACAACUUCUAAUUGGAGUUCCAUAAUUGGGAGAAAUAAGAUAUUAUUUCAUUCUGAGUUAUGACAGAUUCUAUAGCCGACAAAUAUUAGAAAUUUCGUUAUCAUCAUUAUGAUUUUAAAUUACAUAUUUAAGUAGUUGCAAGCUUAAAAAUGGGAUCUGCCUAAAAACUGACAAUCUUGCACUAAUAUUUGUGGAGCUUCAUUGUUUGUAAUUCAGUACUUCACCUAAUUUAAUAUUUAAUUAAUAUAUAUCAAGAUCAGUCCUUAUAUUUGAGUUUAGAGUGUAAAUCAAUACAACAAAGGUAACUUGUAAGGUAAAAAUUAUACAAGUCUUGUAAGCACUACAAGAGUCCAUGACUGCAAUUAAGGUGUACUAACUAAGUAGGGAUGACCACAAUUAAAGAAGUUUUCCAACACCUUAAAUUAUGAAAACUCAUUUCAUCUCACUCCUUUUGCAGUUUACAAUGGGAAAUAAUGUGAAAAAAUUCAUAUAGAACACGGCAUAAUUUAAGGCAUGUCAUCUCUGACAAAAGUUUUCAAAAAUAAAAUACAAGCAUAUAGGUGGAUUACCAGAAAAGAGGGAAUAAUAGUUUAUUUUUUUCCUCUGUUUCUUUAGCUGUCUCUCUGUUUGGUUGACUCAAAGCUCAAAGUAUAAAUAAGAUGGUAAUGCCAAGUGAACUAUUACAAAUAAAAUAAUUUAACUUCAAUUCUCUGUUUAGGAAGCCAGAUUCUGUUACUCUUCGGUUUAUCUCCUAUUUUACAUCAAAAUAAGGUUUUCUUGAUGAAAUUUCUCUUUUUUUUCAGAACUUCAAGCACUGGUCUAAAAAUAGUUAUGAUGCAGACAUUCAUUACCCUUAGCGAACUGAUGGACAGUCCUUGCCUUAUGGUCCAGAAAGAGGUAGAAAUAAUGAAUUUCAAAAAAAUAAAUCCACAAAUUCUGAUCAAAAGAAGAAAGUAAAUGUCUAUUGAGGUAUGAACCCUCAACCUGAUGUAGCAAAUAUUUUUAGAAACAAAGUAACAUGUAUACUCUGUGUCUGUCCCUUCCUCUUUAAAAUGCAAAUUAGACUCAUGAUGCAUAAAUCCUAUUCCAAACACUUCAUAUUAUUGAAAUCUCAGAAUGACAACAUAAAUCCCCGCAUUGAACAUAGACAUUGUUGCAUAGUGAUAUCUAACAUGAAAAUUUUUAUAAAAAAUAUCUAACAGACGUUAACUAACUAAGGUUUAUUAAAGAACCUGGCAUGUUUGAGACAAAGCCCCCUUUGUUCUCGAUAUGGCCCCUCUCAGUAUUUGGCUCGUGAUCAAUAGUCACCUGAAUGGCCUCCCCCUUCCUUGACAGAACUGCUCGUGAAUCACCAACAUUUGCGACUAUUAACUUCUGAUUAUUAAUAAGAAUUGCAGUCACUGCAGUAGAUCCUCCUCGCCCCAAAUCAGAACUGUGAGAAAGAAUGGCCUGAUCUGUUGACUCAUAAGCUUUGAUGAUAGAACGGGCAGGAUCAGUCCAGAAGUCCUCCUGGAACAGUCAAUCUUAUUCAAGAGUACAAAAUGUAAUUCCAAAAUAGAAUCAUGCCAAGAGGCAUUACAAAUAUGGAAAAAGAAAAUUAGGCCAAACUUCAAGGUUUUCUGACAAUAAAGAGGUUAUACAAGAUUACAUUUCUUACUGUCAAUAUUGAUCCCGAAAAAAUAGAGUAUGGGAAGUUCGGAGUAAAAGGGGAAACUUUGUCCAAUCCAAGGAAUCAAAUGUAAUAAAUCAAUGCAUGAUACAUUUUAGUUUGGUUCCAUAACUCACCUCCUUCAAGAUAUUGGAAAAAAGAUGCUUUUGUAAAUAGGUGGGCACACUCUCUCCCAAGUGUCCGUCGUAUAUAGCAAAAAGUCCUAACUCUUUCCCUCCGCACUUGACAAAUUUUGCUACAUGAUAGUCCUCCAUUGGGUGGUUUGCUUUCCCUUUAACUAGGCUAAAACCAUACUUAACAGGGCACAGGUGGCUCCUGCCCUUGCCAGAGCUACAUGAAGAGCGUCCUCCAACCACCUACAACUAUUGAAGUCAAAAUACAAUAACAAAAGAAUCUAAUGUUUAACAUAAAAUGCCAUCCAAGGAACAUGGUUGAAGUAUUAAAGAAAGACAAAGAAACAUGAUUGAUUAUGGAAGGAAGCAUAGCAUAAAUGUGAUGCCAGGAAAUAGGAAGUUGUCAAUACACACAACAUUCAGAAAUAAAAAAAGAUGUAUUAGAUAACUCUAUCUGGUUGAGUGUCACAUUUAAAAGGCCACAACCACAGAAUACUAAGUAUUUAUCAGCACCAACCAACAACCAAAUGAGUUAUAAAUAAAGCAUAGCUCAUAAGCAUGGUUUUGAAAAAUGGUCUGACUGCAAUUCGGUAUGCAAAGCCAAGGUUUUUUGGAUCAGUGACCCCAACAACACAACUGCAAUUGUGGGGCAUCAACCGCAUUUGUAAUACCUAACAAUAUCAAGAAUCGUAGCAACAACUGUGAGUUUAAAACCUUGUUCAUAGUAGACUGAAAAACACUUACAAAACAUCCAAGAGUCAAAAUUAUAUUAAAUAGAUAGUUUGGUUUAUAGCAACCGUUUGAAAUGAGCCCUAUGUCUGGAAAGUAGUUUACUGCAUAAAGUCCAAUGCAGAAUGCUCCUUUUCUGAGGGUACAGAUUAAAAGCACCAGAAAAAAAAAAUGUUUCAAUUUUCAUUAACAAGUACUCGAAGAAAAAUAAAAUUGGGAUAGUCCUAAGCCAUCCAUUGCCCUGGAAAAACUCAAUCCGCAGAUAGACAAAGGCUGCAUAAGGACCCUCUAAGAUACAAGGAAAUCUUUUAAAACUUUAAGAAAUUGUAUAAGCAUGAAGAUUGAUUAUUCUAAAGGCAAAACUUCAGAAUAAUAAUAAAGGCCACAAAUUCUUACCUGAUUGAAGCAACACAAACAAGCCAUGAAGUAAUUCAGCCCCGCCUCACCUUCCCCCUCUAUUACUCAACAUCAAACUCUUCCGCAAAUCUUCAAAACAGAAAAUUUCACAAAAAUUUGACGCCAGAUAAACUCCAAAACUCUCCAACAACUGUGAAUUAUCAGCAAAACAUUCCGAUCACUGAAGCAAGCAAUUCUAACAAUCCUCCCCAGAAAAGAGAAGGCAAAAGGAAAAUUUUCCAACACCCAGAUAACCAACAGGCUAAAAAAAUUCACAACCAGUCCAAAAAUUUGAAAUUUGUGACAGAAAAAUAUAGGAGAGAUGAGCAGGGGAAUUGGAUGGUAUUAAAAGAGAGAAAGCAAUAACCGAGGAACACCAAAAAGUUAUAAGAAAACGCCCCUUAUGAUGAAAAGAGGUUAUUGAAAAGAAAGAAUGGAAAAGAAGAUGGAGGGGUGGUAAGGUAACCUCGUGGUUUUGUUGAGAAAGUCUGGUCUGCAAUGGGUACGAAAAGGCAGAGGUUGCCCUUAUUGACUUUGCAGUUUUGUAUUUGUUGUUUUAUUGUGAAUGCUAUUGAAAUUGGUAUUGCUAUGCUGACAUACUUUGUUUGAUUAUUACAUACAGCUGUUUUGAGGUUUCAUUUCAUAGUUCUUCUCUCAACUCUCUCGCAUCCGUGGCUGCGUGCCUUGGGUUGGGUGAGGACCUGUGAAAGACUUCAAAAGUCAGCAACACUUUCUACCCUCUUUAAACUCUCUCUCUCUCUCUCUCAUUUUCCCUAAGCUCUUGUCCCAGAAGGAUAACACAAACAACCUUAUUUUACAAUGAAGAUUUUUGUUUUUAUAUUGUUACUCACUGAACCAAACACCACCAUCUGAUUAUACAAUGUAAAGAGUUUUACAGUAUAUCAUAUGAUAAAUUUAUUAACUUUUAUGCAGUAUAUCAUAUGAUACACAACUUUUUGUUAUUUUACCCUUAUUCUUUUGCAUUUAAGUCAUUGUUCUUUUAAAUUCAAUUAACUACCUCUACAAUAAAAAAAAAUGUUUCUGAUAAAUUUUUUUUAAAAAAAUUAUAAUAACUUAAUAUAAAGUUAUAAUUUAAUAAUAUAAUUUUAUUUUAUUUUAAUAAUCAUUACAAUAAUAAGUUCUUUAUUUUUUCUUAUCACAAGAAAAAAAAAUACAUAUACGCAUAACUUCUUUUAUUUGAUAUUUUCUGUGAUUUUAACCAUUAAUUUUUAUUUAUAUUAUUUGACUGUUUCAACGAAAUAUUAAACUUAAAUUCCACUUUUCCUCCUAAUAAAUAAUACUUUAUGAUACAUUUAUAAAUAUUAAAAAACAAUGUAUGGACAUUUGAACCAUGUUACUCCUUACUAAAUACUAAUCAUUUUUGUAAUUUAUGUAAGAAGACAUUUAAUGGAAAUAAAAGAAUCACCAAAAUUUGUUACCAUUGUUUUAUUAGGGUAACAUUGUAAUAGUGUCUCACCUUUAAAGCAGUUCUUUAUUAAUAAAAACAAAUAAUUAUUCUUUAUUUAUAACAGAAUAGUUAUAUAUUUAUUGAAAGAAUGAGAUUAUUUUAGCAAAAGUAAUUAAUAAGAUAACAUAAUUAUUAUAUUUUUAGUAGCUGUAGCGGUUAUCCCUAGGGAAUUAAUAUAUAAAAAAAAAUAUAAAAAAUAUGAUAAAGAAGAAUAGGAUCUGCAAUAAAGAAGUCAACCCCUGCAGGUUAGAUUUUUGAGACAGGACAUUAACUCUGAGCACAGAAACAGUACAAUUCCUAAUUGACUAAAAAACAUCAUGGCUUUAAUCUUAAAGAUAUUGUUUUCAAACAACAACACCUUUGAAGGCAAGGAUUCUUCUGGGUGGGGCUCAGGUUUAAUUUCAGUUCAAGUUAAAUUUGUUAGAUUUGAGAUGAAGUUAAAAUUGUUAAAAUUAGGGUUAGGGUUAGGGUUAGGUGGAUGAAAAUGGACAGGGAUGACAAAGAUCUGAGAAAGUCAGAAAGCAGCAUGCUGUGUAUAGUAAAAGCUGAAUGGUCAAAUUAGAAUUCUAGCAGACUUGUUUGCUUCCUCUUAACACCAAAUUUGUCCUUUUUCAGAUCUAAUAUAUCAAACUGUGAAACACAUAUAGGAUACUUACGGUUAUAUUAUAUUUGUAAUAAAAUAUAUUGAUGGAUAUGUAUUGGUAAAAUAUUAAAUUUAAAAAAUAUUUAUUAAAUUUUUGAUAAUUUUAUCACGAUUUAAAUAUAAUUUUAAAAAAAUACAUUAAUUUCUUUAAAAAUUUAAUAUUUAUUGUAUUUUUUUAGGUUUAAUUACCUUAUUCGUUCCUACAUUUAGGGUCAAUAGUCAAUUUAGUAUAGUGGUUUUUAAAAAAAUCAAUUUGGUCCCUAUGUUUUUUAAAAUAUAUACAAAUUGGUCCUUUCCGUUAAGUUGUUCUUUACGGCGUUAAAUGUUGGAGGUUUGGUCAGAGGCUUGGUCGGAGGAGCAGGAGGAGAUGCCGCCGGAGACGCAGGGGUCAAGGCAUUAGGGGAUGACCCACUUGACACGUCAUCUCUCGAUUCCACGUCUAUCUGCCACGUAAGCAGCAUUUAAUGCCGUAAACAGCAACUUAACGAAAAGGACCAAUUUGUAUACAUUUUAAAAAACAUAAGGACCAAAAUGAUUUUUUUUAAAACCACUAUACUAAAUUGACUAUUGACACUAAAUAUAUAAACGAAUAAGGUAAUUAAACCAUUUUUUUAUUAUGAUUAUAAAAAUAAGAAACAAAUUCUUUUAAAUCAACUAUAAAAAAACAUCUUUCUGGUACAAAACAAAUAAAAUAAUAUUUGUGCACAUAAAUUUUUAUUCUCAAUUUAUAUAAUUUAUAAUUAUAUAAUAUAUAAAUUUAUGUUUUUUAUAUUUUAAAGAUUAUACCUAUCUCUUUGUAUUCCUAUGAAUGUUUGUGCUAGAUUGCUUUUAAUUUAAACUCUCCAUCCAAAAUAAAAAACAAUUGAAACCAUUUCAAACUAAAUAGUCCUUUCUCUCCCCUUCACCACUUAAUUGUCUCAGAAAAUAUUCAACUAAAACUUUAAUCUACUUAUUUUAUUCAAAUUGUAAUUUUGGUCCGUCUAAUUAAAAUAUAAAACACACAGUUAGUUUUCAUAUUUUAAAAACAUGUAAUUUUUAACUAAUUCUAUAUUUUAUGUUCACCUUACAACUAAUACAUCUAUUUAGAGUACCAUCAAAUAGUUUAAUUAAUUGAAACUUGAGAAAGGAAUAUAGGCAAAUUUAAAAAUUGAAUUACAGUUUUAUAUUUUAUAAAAUAUAAUUAAAAUAACAUAAAUUUUGUAUACAAUAUUUAAUUAAGAGAUACAUGAUUAAUAUAAUAAAAAAAUUAAGACAAUUAUUAUUUUUUAUACAUUAUUUAAUUAUAAAAUGUUUUUAUUUGAUAUAAAUAAGAUAGUUAUAUAUUAUUUUAUUCUUUUCACUUUUUAACUUGUUAUUUUUUAUAUAAAUAAUUAUAAUUUGCUUAGAUACUUGUAAUUUAUUUUUAUAUUGAAUAUUAUAAUUUUAAGUGAUUGUAAAUGUAACAUCCUGCUUACACUUUCAUCCUCUAUCAUCACUUAUAAUAUACUAAUUAAUAUUUUCUAUUUUUAACACUAAACUAAGUAUAUUUAAAUAUAAAAUUAAAAAACAUCAAGAAUUUAAAACUAUGAAAUGUUUUAGUAUGGAUUAAAAAGCAAAAGGGAACAAAGUUGCAGAAACUAUUCUUAACCUUUACUUUGAAUAUCAUAUUUAAGAUGAUUUUCAGUGAACUAAAAUUAAAAAAUGUUUCAUGUAAUGUUGAAAUUUAUUUAUUUAUUACUUACAUGGAAAAAUGCAAGUACACAGUUUCUACAUUUAUAAUAAAAGGUGUUCCUCAAACACUUUGAUAAGAGAAUCGAUAAUGUAUUAUUACUUGGCAAAAAAAUACUCACAUCUCAGCACACAAUGAUGAAUAUUUGAAAUUAUGUUGAUGAAUUUGAAGAAGAAAAAAUUGAAAAAUGGAUAAUGAAAAAGACCUUCUCCAAUGGAAAAGAGAAAAAAGAAAAAAAGAAAAAGUAAGUGGACUUGCUUAUUAUUACAAGCAUGAAUAGGUCAACUUCCCUUAAUUGCAUUGCAUGUAUUGCUUUGUGCAGUGUUUGGUGGAAUGAAUGAACACCAUAAACCCAACUCAAAUCCCAUUCAAAAGGAAAUGCUCUUUUUAAGAAAAAGUUCUUUUUACUUAUAAUGGAUUAAUGAUAAGUUAUGAUAGUUCACCACUUACAAUUUUUUAUACAAUCACAUUAUAUUUUUCAAUAUUAUUAUUUUACUAUUUUUUAUAUUAUUUAAUUAUAAAUUUACUUUUUAUUAUAUAUAUUUAUUUUAAAUCCAUUACAUGAAGAAUUAUAUAUAAUUCUAAAAGUUAUCAAAGUAUAUUUUUUUUAUUAUGAUUUAUCGUGCAAUGAGAAAAACGAACAUGGCACCACUUCACACGCGUGGAAAACAAACAGUCACCUAGGUGUACGAGGUGGGGUUUCGCCACGUGUACACCCCGUGCUGAUGUCUCCUCUUUUCCCUGUUUUUGUUGCUCUGUUACACAUGAACAGAGUAAUUUCCCCUGUUUCAGUUACACAUGAACAGAGCAACUUCCCCUGUGCUGCUAUCAGUUAGCUUAAACCAACAUGCCACCAUGUAUGCUCAAACCAUACUACACUGACUUCUAAACUGCACUCACAAUGCUGUCACUAUGGCUAAAAUUGUAAUCACAAUAUACUUGUAAAGAGUCAUUAUUACUGUUGUUGAAAAUGUACUUACGAACUUUUUUUCAUUAUAAAGUAUACAAUAUUUUAAUUAUGUUUGACAUUAAUUUAGGAUUUUUUUUAUAAUUUUAUCAAAAUUUAUUUGUAUCCUUAAUUCAAAUUUUGUAGUAAUUAAGAUAAUUAUUGAAAUAAAUUAUUGUAUUUUUUUUACAUAUUUAACGGUUUUUCAGAUAAACAUAUUUUCAAAGUAGAUAAAGAGGUUAUAGUAUUAUAGUAUAGUUUAAAAGAAAGUUUCAUAGUAGCUAAUAGGUUCAGCCCAAUCAAGAAAUACAUAGUCUUUGAGUUUUUACUAGAUCUUUUUAGAAAGAGAACGAGGUAUACCUAUGAGGUGUAUUUUUUUAUUAUUCUUUUUUGUCCAUUUUUUUACACAUACUGUGUAUAUAUUCUGAGCAUUGUCUGCAUAAUAAAAUAACAAACUUUUUCAUAAUCUUUUCUUAUGUAUUUUUCUGUUUUUUCACAUUCUUUUUCCAUACAGUUCAUCCUAAAAAUUCAUUUAUUACGUGAAGAAACAUUUGUAAGAAUUCAUUACAAUAAUUUUUAUACUACAAGUACUAUAAAUCUAAAGUUUAAAUUAGGAAGAAAGCCAAUUUUAUUUUAUAGUACAUAUUUGAAAAAUAUAUUUAAUUUUUUAUUUUAAUUAAUAAUCUUACAUUUAUAUUUUUUAGAAUGUGGAUGUACUAUUAACAAUUUUCUGUAAUUUGUUUAUGGUGGUUAAAUAUUUCGUAAUAAAAAAUUGUAUAGACACUAUUUAUAUGUAUUAAUGAAAAAUGGUUGAAUUUGUGUUAAUUACACAUUACAAACAAACAAUACUAGUAUGUAGCUUAAUAGAUGAGAAGGAAACAGUUAUGAGACAAAAAAUUGUGUUAAUUGCAUUUCUCAAAAGUGAAUAAAAUGAGAGUUUGAAUAUGCAAGAAUUGAUGAAGGAUAACGGAACUAGUUUAGUAUGAUCAUAUCCUACAUAGGAAUAUUUUUUGCUCUCAAUCAUAUAGUUUUUUUUUAAAAAAAAAUCUCAGUGAAGUGUUAAAUAUUGAAUUUGGUUUAAUAAUAUAUUUAUACACCACUUGAACAUUAAGUUUUUGAAAAAAAAAAUAUACACCUUCUAAUACAUGAAUGGAAUAAAGAAUUUUUUAAUCGUGUCGAGAUCCGUCACUAAUAUCUAUAGUCUCAUUUACUCCUUAUCAAGUAUAAUUAUAACUGUUUCGGUAUUGUUAAUAUAUAUUCACAUCACUCAGAAGUUGAUAUUAAGGGUAAGUUAUAUACUCUUUUCUCCUCAAACCCACAAAGACACAUUUUAAGGACAAAAUCGUGACAGAACACCGACCUCCAAAGCAGAUAAUACCUCAAAUGUGAUGAUUAAUCCUAGUGAUGUUAUCUCUGAGACUUAAAAUCGAAACAAUGACACCAUUUGUAAAAACGAAAAUGUUCCUUAGCUCUUCACUUAGGAGAAAUUCUUCCCUCCCUUAAACCUUGACUGUUGACUUAUUUUGGUACAAUCAAUAUAUUAAAAAAUCUCCUAAAAUUCAAUCAAUGUGGUCUUGUAUUAGUAAAGUUAAUUUUCAGAAAAUUCAACUAACCUACCUUACAAAUUUGAUAACUAGCCUCCAAGUUAGGUGAAGCUUAAAUCAUCUAACCUAGUCAAAAUUAGAUCAAGGGCAAUAAUACUUGAAAAUAACAUGGGAAUUGAAAGAAUAAAAAAAUUAUUUCAAACCUAAAUUAACUUUAAAAAUAUGAGUUUUGUAGACUGAAUUCAAAGGCAUUUCUCCAUAAAAAAAAAUAAAAAAAGGAUGCAAAGAAGAUUUGAUUUGACAAGACUGAAUCGAAGUAAUGGAAUGAAAAUUGGAUACGAAAAUAAUAUGAAUGGGUGGAGUUUAAGUUCGAUUCUGAGAUUCCCAUCACAAAUUUAAAUUAUGGAUGGUAAAUAAAUAAUUACGUAGAGAUAAGGAGAUAAUAGAAGAAAGGACAAAAAAAUUAAAGAUGUGAGGAUUAAAAACAAGAUAGAUUUAGAAAAUGCAUUACAUCCAUAAUUUUCUCUUUUAAGGUUAAGCACUUAUAACCUCUUAAUUUUAAAAAAACAAUACUAAUUAUAUUUUUAUUGAUUGUUGUCUUAUUAUAAUUAUUUCAUUUUUCAAAAAAAAAAUGUAAUUUUAGUAAUGAAUAUACAAUUUUUAGUUUUAACAUUUAUAUAUAUACAAACUUUAUUUUGGCAUUCUCCAAAAUUGGUACCUAGACGGUUGCCAACCUUGACUGGGUUCAGAAUCGUAACUGAAGUGAAAACUUUUAAAUCGUGCAUCCUCAUGUUAAUCCUUUUAUUUUUAAAUAAAGAAAAUAUUUAAUGCUUUAAAAAUAAUAAACAUAUUCUUUUUUCAUUGGAAAAAUUCCUUACAAAUAUUAAGAUUUAUGAUAAACUUAUAUAACAUUUAUCUUAGUUAAACUUUUAUUUCAAGAUGUGACCCUGCGUCAAAUAUAGAGCAUUCAUUUGUAAGCUCAUACACGAUUAACCGAAUCAAUUUUUGUCUGAAAAUCACUAAAAAGAGACUAUUAUUUUCUGUAUAAAUAAAUCUAUGAAAACAGAACUAAAAAAAAAAAUUAAAAAAAUGACAAAUUUAUAAUUAAUAAUGAAAAUAAAAAAUAAAAGCAAGUACAUGCCCCCAUAAAUCUCUGCUUUGGUAAACUCUGCUGUUUAUGCUAUAACCACAAACAAAACCGAGUAAGUUGCAAAGUGUGCAGAAAUAAAAGAGGAUAUCAUAAUUAGCACUUAGUAUUUAAUUACAUAGUUCCUCUCUCCCCAAUCCACUUUUGUACAAAUUGAAGUUUAGUACUUUAGCAAGUUACAUCAUUAUGUCAUAACCCCCAACCAUCUAUAAACAGAAUUAUCCUGUCACACUAAAAUAACCAUAAAUAAAAUCAAAACCAUAUUUCAUUAGACUACAAUAUCUGAACUGUGAAACCAAAGUGCAUGCUAGCUAUCAUAUUCUAUUUAUAUGCAGCGUUGGAUCCAAGUAAUUUGAACUAGAAAUAUAUACAUGAAGACGAUGUUAGGAGUCCCCAAUGCCAAAUAAAGCCAAAGUGGCCCCAUGUAUUUACAGAGGGGAAGCUUGGAUCAGUUAAAUGCUAUAGGAAUGAAAUUGUCAUCGUCUAAAAGCAUAUCAAUAUCAAUCCAAUCCUCCACACCAUCAACCAUCCCUUCUUCAGAACUGGUCAAAUCCUCGUUAGUUCCCUGCAUAACAUUAAAUGACAAUGAGCAUAUCAUUAAGCCAAAUAUUAAUGACCCUAGACCCAACCACAAGUUAACAAAAUACCUUGGGUUGACGGAAGUCCUCGACAACAUUUAGCAGACGCCGGUAUUGGGCGCGUGCCUCUGGAUACUGAGCCAUGGACUUCACCCUUGAUAAUGCCUUUUUGAUAUUUUCUUCCUUUUGUUUCCGUCCCUCCUUGAGAAAAUCAUAAUCAUCUUCAUCUUCAUCUUCUCUCGGAGAAUCAUUGUGUUGACUGGGGACUUUAUUAAGCGUGUCUGGUCGAAAUCCACGUAAACCACUACCCUUGCGCCUCCAACGUAAUAUGAUCUUCUCUAGGAUUCCCACAGACCAGAUGAUUGGUUUAUACUGUUUCCGUACCUGGUGACCUCUUACAUGGGCCUUGACACCACAGAAUUCAACAGUCAGUGGAAGUAGCAUGUGUCAUGUGGAAAAAAGAUAUGUAUUUUUUAUGGCAAAAGAAUAACGAAGAAUAAGUAGUCAUAUUUCUUCUAGGGAAAGGGGGAGGAGGGGCAAAGCUGUUUGGAGAACAUCAAGUUCACACCUAAGGCUCAGGCCAGAGAUAAUUGAACUAAAAGCUUUGGGCAGACUCUGAAAAUACCUUUUUUUCUGUAGCUUCCUAAACUAAAAAGGAAUGCGAAUAUCAAUUGUGUGAUCAAAUUUUUCUCCUUUACAACGGGGGGGUAAGGAAAGACAUGUAAACAAUAGUGCUAUAUAUAAUUGUCUUUAAGGCUUCAAGCUCAUGAUUUUAUGUCUGUUAAAACAUCAACCCUCCAAGUAAAUGCAUGUUCACAUUUUGGAUUGUUUUCUCCACUUACAAUCUGAAUGUGCGAUCUAAAUGUAUACAACGGUUAUAGAAGGAGCAAAGAGAUGCAACAGUUUUUCCAUUCUUUACCUAAGAUUGUAUCAAUCAAGAUCUCUCCAAUGAAAUCAAUUUUCCACCUUUGGUUUCCAAAAUAGAGAAAUAAUUGAUAAGAUGAUUUUAUGAGAAAUUAAGAACAUCCAACAAUACUCUGUUUUACACGAACAAUAUUAAAAAUGAAAAAUCAGUAAAAAGAGCAGAUCAUUGAACCUGGAUUUUAACAAUUCUUUGGCGAAUCAUCAAGAAUUCUUUUCUCUUCUUCCAACCACGAAACUUUUUCUGUAUGUGUAUUGCGGCAGCAUUGGCUAAACCAUUUCGUUGUCCAGAUUUGCAAGCCCUAGAAGCUAGAAGAGAUAGGGCUUGCUGAUCUAACAAUCCAAGCUCAUCAUCCCCUUCAUACUGAGUUAACUGCUUCCUCUGAAAUGACUGCAUUCUGAAUACUUGAUGUAUACGAUCAGCGGCUUGUGUUGCAUUACGCACAGCAAUAAGCGAAUCCUUGAGACAGAGGGUAUCUGGCAUAUCACCACAGAGCACAGGUGUUGCAGUUCGUUCUGAAACUGUCUGCACCCCUUUCAUUCCUGAAAUUUCUUGUCGACCACCUUUUUGAUCAUCCAUUGUGAUGGUUUCAAGUCUGUGAGUUAAUGAACACUCAGCAAGAAAACCAGAGAUUCCUUUGUGCCCGUUUUCAGAGGCAAGAUCUGCAGCUUCUCUACCAGACAGAAAUGCAGGAGAUGGAUCUGUCCGUGCUCCACAAUCUGCUCCCAUGGACACCAGGAAAGCAACUGUCCGCUCUCUGACAAAAAGACAGAAUAAUGAGAAAAAAAAUUGUGUCAUGCAAAACAUAACAUAUUUGAGAAACAAUAAUGAAAUAGAAACCUUCUGCUAUUUUCCUUUAACUGAUCAAAGCAAUGGUUCUAGGCGUAACUUAUUUUAGGUAAUAAACAGACGUAAAUUUGCUUCAUAUACUGGAAAACGAAUUUUGUGAACAAUUUCACCCUUGAUAAAAGUCUAAAAUAUGAAGAAUAUCAGAUCAGUUAAAGAAGGUUCGACCAGAUUACAAGACGUAACUUAUGCUCAAUCAACUGGACUCAAUGAAGAGGGAUAAAAAUCUGAAGGAACUUUACCUGCCACAGAAUGCAGCCCAGUGAAGAGCAGCCCAUCCAUUCACAUCUCGGAAGUUGAUAUUAACUCCAGAAGAUAUAAUUGGAUUUAUGGCCCAAUCAUAACCAAGAACAGCUGCUAAGUGUAUCACACCUUGGCCAUCCUUGUCUAAUACAUUGGGCCCUUUACCACUCUCAGUUACUUUGUGAAGAAGCCAUGAGUACAGCUUCUCUUUAAUCUGCCUGUGAAAAAGAUGCUCCCUCACCCCGUGUUUGGAUAUAUCCAAUUCUGUAGUUGGUUCAUCCUUAAUGGAAUAUUCCUCUUCCUCUCUCAGUGAAAUAAGCUUGAAAAUUAAAUUCCUUUUCUCCAUAUCACCCUCAAAAGAAUGGUUUGAAGGGUUCACUGGCUUUAAAGUAAGAAAAUUCUCCAGUCGGCUAUGAAGCUGCAUUUCAGUUGAACUGCCAAAAAAUUCUGCAAAAUCUACAUUUCUAGCAAAGUCUUUUCUGAAAUCAAAUUCCCGCACUUCACUACAAGCUAACCUAUUGGAACAUGUUACAUAGAAUGGGACCCGUCCAACUUUAUGACGAGGAGCUUGACAACACAAAAUUCCAUCAGCUAAAACCUCAGCUGGAACCUCAACUUCCCCAAACAUACAGGACCAGUUACAUGUUGUCACCUCCGAUUGACUCUUAAAAAAUGAUCCAAUAAUCAACACCUGUAUAGUUUUAAACAGGAUAAGAUGCCAAUCAAACUAUACAAUCAAGUAACAGUGACUCAAUAUUAAAAAUAAAGGAGUAAAACCAAUUAUCAUAUAUAACAUACCAAAGAGGAGGGGAAAAAGAGGGAAGAUUGUCAGAUGUGUCAAGAGAUACCAAGAUAUAGAAGAAAUGCAAAAUCGAGAACAUUGCAAAUUAAGAGCAACAACAGAUGAAAUUAAGAGCUAUAUAUACACAGUUUUAUAAUUAUUUUACUUUAUAAAAAUAUCUAAUACAGAACAUAGAUAACGUUUAUAACUUUUUACAAAAUAAAAUAAAAUACUCGUGUAAUCCUGUGGCCUACAUUUCAUGCGCAUACAAAAUUAUUACCAAAACAUAAAUUGUAUUUGAAUUCUUACACAAAAUGUGAGAAAAAUAAGUAGGAAAAUUAUAAUAAUGAGCCAAAAAGCCAGCAAAAAAGUUCAAAUGAGUAACAAAAAGACAUAUAAACAGGCAAACAGAUUAUUUAAAUAAAUGUGUUAACAUUAUAAAAAUGAGGAGCUAAUCUUAUAUAAUCAUAAAUAUCUAGAUUAUGUAUGUAUUAUUACGAACAUUUUUAUUUAUUCCUAUAUCAUAUCUUUGUUAUUAGAAGAAAUCUCCUUUAUUUAUUAUAUUAAUUUCAUUUUCUCAAUAAAGCACCAGGGCUGUCUCACAGAAGCACGAUUUCAUCUCAGUGUUUCUUUCUUCCCUAUAAUUUAACAUGGUAGCUAGAGCCUUUUUCAAAACCAUGUUGGCUCAAGACCUACUAUCUCUAGAGGAUUUUUUUUUAAAUCUUUCUCCUAGGUAUCUCUAGAAAAGUAUAUUAAUACAAUAAUGUAUAAUAUAUGAUAAUGAUCAUAUAAUAGUAAUAGUAAUAUAUAAUAUAUUAUGUGAUUACAUUAGAAGGAAAAGUAGGGUUGAAAAAGAAUUGGAGGGAGAACCCUCAAUUAUAUAGAUUUUCAAAAAGAUCAGUACCUCAAUAUUUAACUCAGCAUAAGCCCAUUUAGGUGAAAAAUCAUUUAUACUAAACAGUUGGUCCUGAGAGAGAGAUGGACUCAAUGAGCUAUCAUCUAUCACAUGCUGGCAUUCAUCUGUACUCCAAGAAAUACCAGGUGUGGACUGCAUAUUCAAAUCAGCCACCUCUCCAAGUUCUUUAGUUACCCACCGAGAGAAACUAUCAACCUUCUUCAGGCUCUCAUCUUUGUCCAAUAGUGUGCGUUUCACAUUUGAGCUAUAGUUGACAGAUUCUUCAUCAGAAACUUUAAUUGCAGAAUUGGAUUUUAGAGAAUGUUGAGAUUGUCCAUCUGCAUGCUCUUGUGGAUAGUUUUUCUGCAUGAGCUGCUCUUUUGGAUCGCCAUUAAAACUGUACAGGAUCGGAGCAAUUUCAGAACUUGUAUUACGAGUUUCAUACCCUAGUGAACUGGUGCCAUAAUCAGAUCCAAAUUGCAGACCAAAUGAUUGGGGGGUUAGGGUUGACAUUGGCAUAUUUCCCGAACUGUCUUCAAAAGGAAUCUGCAUCAAAUCAAAUAACAAAAUGAAUAGUUAUAUUUUUUGGCUAAAUCUGCUAAGUAAUUAGUAGUUUGAAAUUACACACAAGAGUAACCGAGGCUAAAAAUAUCAGUUUCAAAAUUAAGCAAUCAAAAGAUAAAACAGACACCAAUCCAACCCAGUCAUGGCUACCCAAUAACUUAAUUGGGAAGAGUUCAAGCUAAUAAAAUACAUAUCUUACCAAAAGGUUGAAUAUGGAUACAUCCGAAGAAACUGUAAUCUGGAGUCAUAGCAUUUUUAAAGUCCAUAAACAAUUCAAAACCUUUUAAUAUGCCACAUGCAGCCAAAUACCAGAUAGUCCCAUAAAACUGUCACAUUAUGUCUAUUCCAUCUAAAACAAAAGGUGUUUGGUUCAAGAAAAUGUUCUCUUUUUCAUUUUCUAAAAAUUCCUUUCAUUUCCAAGUUUUCAUCAAUUUGAAAAUGUUUGUUUAGAUUUGCUAAUCAUUUUCUGUUUUUCUUCAACAACUUUUUCCACUCUGUAAUUUGAAAUGUUUAUUUAUUGAAUGACCUCAUCCUUUUAACUUGCAGCUUGUGUUCUGAGACUGAAACAUUCAUAUUGAAGUUGUACAUUCAUCCUAACUUACAUGCACCCAAAACAAAAUUCCAUCUAACUAAUUUGAUUAUAAGGCAGUGUUAUAGGUCACAAUCAGUUCAGAAGAUGGUUUGGGAGAGAAUGCACAACUUUAAUGGAAAGAUCUAGUUAUUGUCUCAUUGAAAUCCAUGGUCUCAACUUUCCAAGAGAUAGAAAGUAAUGGAUAUAAAGACAUGAAAAUCUAAAAAAUGGCAUUACAUCAGUUUGAAGAUACUGUUUUUUUUUUCUGAAAUGAUAUCAAACCAAAAUGAAAACAGAAAAUGAUGAAAAUAAACAGGCCCUAAUAGUUGCAGAUGAAGAUAUACUAUGCAGAUAACAGUAUGUACCUGCCAACUCGAUUGGAAAGAGUGAGAGCUCUCUGCUUCCACGGUGAGAACUCUUUUGCCUGAUAAAAGGUCACCAAAAAUGGUAUGUUCUUGUUCAAGGACACUACCCAUUGAACUAGAGGGCAUUGAAGAAAAUGAUGCAAGAGAAGGAUCAUUAUGCAAAUUGGCAGUGCUUUCCAAGACAGUGUCCCAUGGUGCCACGCCAUGUGUUUUCUCACCAUCAAAAUACGUAGUGUCAUUUCCUCUAAAUUUAUCCUCAUGAACAACUGGGAUAUAAUCUGUUCCAGAAAUUGAUGACUGUCCAUGAUCACCUAAAAUUAUUUGAAGAUAUAUGGGGGAAAACAUGUGUCAGAGAACGCCUAAUAAAAAAUAUAAAAUACCUGAGACAACCAAAAUGAAGGGAGAAACCUGAAAAGGAAUGCAUAUGAUAUGAACUGUUCACACCACCAUCAAUCUUUUCUGUCAAUGGACCAUUCCCCAUAUGUCGUGACUCAUGUAAUGGGCGCAACCCAGAACUAAUUUGGUGGAUAUCCUCUGGAAAGAAUCAUGAUUAAAAAAUUUAAGGGUGAUCAAAUAAAUGGUCCAAAGUAUUACACAAAUAUUUGUUGUAUCAGUAAACCAAGAUAAUUAAAGUACAGGAGAAGAAAAUAAAAAAGAAAAAAGAAAAUUUUCUCUAUAAGCUAAAAUUAAUAUCUACAAGUCAAUUUAAAUAUAAACUAAUUUUAACUUGAGGAAAAACUCAUUUCCUUUAUCCUUCCUGUUUUUCUUCUCUUCAAAUAUUUUUAUGGAUAAGUUUAUUCCAAAACAUUCUUAACAUGUUAAUUCACUUCACAGACCACAUAAAAAAUUUUAACCCUCGUGAAAUAAACUGAAGCAGAAUUACCAGAAUCAGCAUCUUCACGUAAAGACAUCAAACUGCUUGAUGGGCUGACAGAAUCCGUGCUAAGUGAAGUAACCUUUUGGGAAUCCUCACCUUCGGUAUUCACUACAAUAUUUUUGUUACCCUGAGAAAUAAACCAGAAUAAAUUCAUGAAUAAGUCAUACCUGCACUCAAGCUAAUUAAGAUCAGGACUACAAAACACAGCUUCAAAUUCUUCCUGCCCGAUUUCAAGAAGAAUAUGACAAAAAUAGAUUUUGAGAUCUCCUCAGAAAGGAUGGUACCAAUAGUGUUUUUAUCACCAUACCAAAAGCUUAAGAUGUUGGCAGAGGUGCAACUCGACUCAUAAUACUAGGUCAAACACAAGCACUUUCCCAUUCAAGCAAUUGGACGAGACCACUGGCUCGAAUCCAACCCACAAACCCAACAUAUACAUAUAUAUGUCAUGACCCCUUGGGCAUAUCAUCCCCUCCCUCUUGGGAAAUUAAAUAACAUAAAUAGCCACAAUGUCUCUUGUCAGAUGGAUUCAGCCAUGGGUAUGACCAAACGUUAUUCCCUCAUCCUCACCCCUGAACAAGAAAACCAACCCUACAAAAAAAAUGUAACUUUACCCUAUUUGGAUAAUUUUUUCAAUAAGCACUUGUAAAAAAAUAAGAAGGAAAAAGGGAAUAAAUUUCUCUCAUUCGAUAAAAUUAGAUUAUACAAAAUCUGUCGAAACUCUCUAAUUUUAACUUUAAAAAAAGUUUAUUUUAACUUAUAGGAGAAACUUGUUGCAUUUUUUCUUCUUAUUUUCUUCUCAUAUAAGCGCUUACAAAAAGGUUUAUCGAAACACAAAUAAAAACAAUGUCUUAAUUUUAAAACUUGAUCAUAAUCUGGAUGUAUUUAAUUUGAUCAUUGAAAUAGUGUGACUAUCACAGCUUCAAAAUCAAACUCUUUUAACGGCAUGUUACCAUGCCAGUAGGUCUUACUGAUAGUAUUAAAAAUUAACAUUGAGAAUUGAUCAAAUUGAACUCUUUCAGUGGCUGUUUCAUCCUGCAUAUACUUUCAUUAACUCCUUUAGUAACACUAGUUAGAGCUAUGGUUAUUAUAUAAUAAAAAAACAAAAUGAGUAGCAAUAAUAUCAUUAAUCAUUCAUGAUGGUUCAACAUAGACUACAAGAACUGCAGCUGCUACAUUCUUUCCCUUUCAAAUGCUUCAUCAUAUUUUGUAAAACAUCAAAACUCAAGUUAUGGAGGACAAAGGUUUUAACAAAAGUAAAUAAUAGAUAGAAUCCAAAAGGUAGAAAUGAAAGAGUUAUAAAUGAUAAAAAUACACAAUCAUUGGAAGGUAAUAACAAGAAAAAGUAAUGACAGCAAAAAAUAUAAAGAAAUGAACAAUAUACCUUAACUUCCAAGUAAUGGACAAAUACUAUGUGCAUCAUAUCCCUGCAAUAAAAGAAAAUUAACAAGAAAACCACGUUCUGAUUAAUUACAAGACAUGAAUAUCUCGGUAUACGUACAUUGAAAGUUCAUAUUAGUAAAGAUGCAGCAAAAUAUUUAAAAUCCAAUAAGAUUUAAAAAUGCCAUCUACAAUUUGUAGAUAAAGAAGAAAUUACAUUAGGGAGAAAUGGGUGAAUUAGAUGAUCACAACUAGGGGUAGGAUAAGAAAUCCUUCAAAAACAUACACAAGGAGAACAGGGAAGAAAAAUGCAGUAAAGCUUCUCAAUCAACUUGUCUAAGCCAGAAACUCCUUUGAAGUAUACAAACACCAAAAAAAGCGAAAAAUGUACCUCCAGUGCUCUAUUCACUAAGUUUGGGGCAAUAAAACACCCUUAAACAAUUUUAUCUAUAAAAUGACAUGAGAACCAGUACUUGCAAAGAAGCUUACAAAGUAACAAACACAUGAAAUAUGAAUACAAUCUAAUUUCCAAGACAUAUUACACAAAAUAUUGUAAGUAAAUUAAUUCAUACUCACGGUUCAAGCAUCCAGUAGCUUCGCCUUUGAAAAUUUUCAUUAUCUUCUCCAUGGGCAUAGUAGCAAUGCAACACAUCAACACUUCCAACCUAAAUUUGCUUAAAUGAUGUUACAACCCACUGAAUAAUUAUAUAAUGGUAUAGACACUUGCUUAGCAAUUAGAGAAGACUAAUUGAAAAAGUUCCGAUCAUCUUACAUAUAAGCUAAUUACACAGAUUCGCUUAACUAUAAACUCAACACUUAAGCAAAUUAUAAAAUCACCUUCAACUUUUCAUGAGCUUCUUUCACAGUUUUUCCGUCCUUUUUCUUUCUCCAAUUAUGUCCAUCCUUUCUGAAGUAUCUCAAAACCUUUCUAUCAAAUAGAAAAAGUGAGCCACCUGAAAUCAUGAAAUAAAAGUCUAAAUGAUGUCUUUGUAAGCAUGAAGUAAUGAUAGGAUUGUCAUUAGUAGCUAAAAGAUAGAGUGAAAAUAACAACAAAGCAAGUUAUAGGAAAACAAAAAAAAAAUACUAAUAAUAAUAUCCUAAAUCCUGCUUAAUUGCGAAGAUUAUGCAAUAAGUACAUAAGGUGCUUUUUUGCUACCAAGCUUCACCAAACUUUUUUGACUGAAUAAUGUGCCGGUAUUCCUUGAACUAAAAUAUAAAGGAUCUAUUGGAACAUGAACACCUUAAGUUCAGAUGAUGAAAAAUUAAAAAAAACUUCAUACAGCUUCAAAAAGAAUUAAAUCCAGUUAAAUGAACUCAAGGAGGACAAUACUUCCAUUUUGAAACACAUUGUUCAGCACCUAGAAAGAAAUGAUUAAUUCAGAACAAAAUGUUCAUAAACACCAUGUUCCACCAAACAAGUCAAUGGAACAUCAGUUAGUAGAAGCUUCUUGGGCAAUUCAUCCGAUCCAUAUAUCUAAAGUAGAUACACUUGGUGCCAAUUAAUUUAUCAGUAACAUGCAGUAACCAUACUUGGUGGCCUGUUAUGAGGUUCUGAAGUGAUUUGAAACAUCCGAUAAUUACGAAGAAUUUCACAAAUUUCUGCAGGUCGCAACCACCGAUGCUGGGCUUCAAAUUGUAAUUGCUGAAUAUCUGCAAAUUGAUAUCAAGGCAUUUGGUCAGAUAUUUUAUUACAAAUUACAUCCCACAGACAACAAAUACAAUUAUAUCACAUAUCAAAUCAUGGCCAUAAAAGCAACAUGCAUCAAUAAGAAUAUUUUUGUAAUAAUAGAAUAAAAAUAAAAUAUAAACUGACAUAUGAAACUAACAGCCACUGCCAUUCACGAGUGCAAUUUCGAGGUCAGAGUAUCCAGUACAUAAAUUUAGCAUCCUAUAAGCCACCCCCCAAAAAAAUCAAUUAGGCUACCAAAUAUAUUCCUUUCUUCAAAUCUGGUUUUUUUAAGUGAUUAUUUGAAAUAGCCUAUUGUGUUCAAAAUAUUUUAAAUAAAUAAAAAAUGCGAGAUUUUGACCAGAUAACUGUUUUUGAGUAAUGUUGUUACAAUCAAGAUUACAUGAGAUCGGGAGGGGGAUUAAAGAUCGUAAAUUGAAAGAGCCAACCAAAUGAAGCAAGAUUAUACAUAAACAUAUCCAUGUGAUAAGGAAAAUAUUGUGUAAGUAGUAACGUUGCUAAACUUGAACUGAAAAUUUAUAUCCAUACAUUUAUAUGGGUAAUUUUCCUUAUACCUAUAGAGGAGUGCUGCCAACAUACUCUUUAGAACGCACUCUUUCUUGUUUGUAAAAAUUUAUUGGAAAACACAAAAUCAUGACAGAAUCAUAAUGCUCUUUUUAGUUGCCUUUAGUUUGUUUGUUUUUUGGCAAGAAAAACCCCUGUAAUGCAUGUGCUUUUUCCGACAAAACCAUUUUGAAAUAGCUACAAAUUUGGCAAUACGACUAGGUUAGAUAAGUUGGGGGGGGGGGGGGGGGAUUGAAGAUGCAUAUUAGUUAGUUUCACCACUCAGAAUCCGAAAAAGAAAUCGAUGCAGUGAAGAAAUACCUAUCAAUCAUUCAUAUCAUACGACCCUAGUUUCAAAGACGCUGUAACACCUAAAAAAGCGUAAUUAGACUGAAAAAGUACCAAAAUGGUUAUUUCCCCAAAUCAAUUGGGCACAGUUUUAGCCAGCCUCAGUAAGGGCCAAACCUUACGUCCAUUCAUUAGCCAAACCAUUGACAGUACCUGACACUUAGACCCAACAUCAAGAAUCCACUCAAUGAAGGAAACAUUCAAUAGCUGAAGCUCCGUAACAAGAAAUCGCGUCGAAAAAACACUUGAAUGUUCAGGAUCGAAGCAUUGCACGGGAAAUUAAAAAGCAAAAUAAAAGAGGCGAUUAGAAAAUGACCUAAUGGACGACGCAAUCCAUAAGCAGCUCCCUCCGCCAUGGCGAAGACUGAAUCUGAGAUCAACGCGAACGACGAAGGACAGACAGAGACUUUUUUUCUUUUUUCUUGUUUUUUUCUUUCCCCCUCAACUCUUCAGUGACGUGAUAAAGUGAAAAACUGAUACUGUAUAUUUCCUAUUUAUAUUAUACUGAGUACGUACUCUCUCAAACAUUUAUAUCAUAAAUGUUUAUCUCAGAAAUUUUAAUUUUUUGCAUAAUAAUGAAUUUCAUUCUUUAUUUUAGAUUUUCUGAUAAAUUGAAAUAUUAAUUGUUCGGAAAUUAAUAUAGUGAGUCGAUGGGCAGAGUAUAUAUUUUUUCUUCGAACGUUGAUAUCAUAGUAUUUAUAUUUUUAUAUAUUUUAAUUUAUCAAAACGUAUUUUUAAGGACAAAAUUAUGAUAUCGGUGGUUGAUGAUAUUUCUGCAUAAAUAUUAUAUUGAAUUAUUGACGAAAAAAAUCAAAUGGGAAAGAAAAAAAAGUGUUUAAUAAAAAUAAGUUAUGCAAAAAAAAAGUAUAAAAAAAUUGCAAGGUCAAUUUUUCCAAAUGGGGUUUGACCUGGUGAGAGACUAGCAGAUGAAUAACGCGUUAUGAACAUGUCACGUUCACGUCAUCUUCUCUCUCCCUGAGCUACACUGAGAAAUAAUUUGAGUUUGCAAAAUCUCAUAGUAUUUUAUUCAAUUUAUAUUUUAAUGAUAAAUUUUAUUUUAAAUUUUUAAUAUUUUUUUGUUGGUUUAGACCUCACAAUUUACUUUUCAUUUAAUGUUUUUAAAAUAUUAAUAAAUUUUUUUAAUUCUUUAUAAAUUAAAAUAUCAAAUUGAAAAUAAUAAUAAUUAAUUUUUAAUGAGUAAACAUGAUGAUAAUGAUAAUACAAACAUCUUUGUCAUUAAUUAAAAUAUACAUUGAUCAUUGAGUAUUCUUCUCGAACAAAGUCGCGACUAAGAUAACUAUUACAUUUUUUUUCGGUUAGUCGCUUUUGACUUAUUUUCCUCUUUGAAUAACUUCACAACUCACAAUUCUCCCUUCGUUCUUUUACUCUUUGUUCUUGUAAACUUUAAGAUCGGAUGGUACCAGCAAAAGACACUUUGAUGCUCAAGUGAGAUCUCGAUAUUCGGUGUUUGGUGCAACUAAUGUGUGAUGAUGAUGUAUUUUUUUAUUGAAAUGUGUGACUAUUUAUAUGAAUAUUAUUGAUCUUUUGUUAUUGGGUCAGAUUAUGAUUUUGGAUCAUAAUUAAAAAUGUAUUAUUUAAUAUUUAAUUACUGUUUUGUCUUAUUAAUCUCCUAUAAGGCUUAAUAAAUUUUGUUGUGUCGGUUGCCUUUGACCGGAUGACGAAACUUCCACCUGUCGUCCAUCCCUGACCGGUAUAAAUAUCAAACUUAACUUUUCAAAUGAUAAAUUGAUUAAUCAACCUUUUUUUUUCUUUGGGUUGAGUUUGUUUUUUUCUUUAACUUUUUUUUUCUUCCAUUGAUAGUUUUGAGAUUUGAGAGUUUGAUGAUAUAUACAAAAGAAUAAUGAUUUUAUCAAAUAAUAGAGUUGCUCGAAGUGGAGUUGAGAUGAGAGAGUGAUUGAAAAUAAAUUUUAUUUCAUUUGAUAAAUGAGAUAUUGUGUGAGAGUAUGUUCUUUCUUUGUGUUGCCUUAAAAUAAAGAGUUAAGAAAAUUAGUAGAAAAUUAGUUUACAUAUAAAACUAUUUAUUAAUAUUAAUUUAAAAAAUUAAAAAAUAAUUUUAUUUUAAAAUAAUUUAUAUGAUAAAAUACUCUAUAAGAUAUAUUAAAUAAGAAUAGAAUAAAAAAAAAAUAUUUACACUUAAUAAAAUGAGAAAGCUACUAACAUUUCUUAUAACCUGUGUUAUUUUAUUUUAAUGAAUGUAAAAUUUAAAAAUUAUUGUUAAGAGUAUAAAUAAACUAACCAGACAUAAUUUUUAGAUAUUUUUUAAGAAUAUUUUUUUCAAUAAAAUAUUUUCGUAAAUUACAAGGGAUAAAAAGCACACUAUAGAAACAGCUGAGUAAUCUGGCCUCUGCAGUUGAGAUAUGGCUUCGUCUCUUUCAUUUCCAAUUCCGUUCGCAAUGGAUUCGCUGUCGUGUGUGACGGUGACGCAUAUGGCACUUUCCAAACCUCUGAAGCACCAUCGUCCUUUGGCCAGAGGCAAAGUCAGAGUUGGACCGCUUCAUCGCCGCCUCAACUCCGUUGCGCCGUUCCGGUGCUCUUCCGCCGCGGACGACGCUGUCAUCACUCUCCACGUUGGGGUUUGUUUUGACUUUGACCUCCUCGCUUCAUCUUUUUUUUUUAAAAGAUUUCUCUAACGGAAUCAAAUGUAGAAAUUGAAUUCCACUUCUCUUUCCAGGGAAUGAUGUGCGAAGGAUGCGCUAAUAGCGUCAAAAAGCUUUUAGAAAGCCGAGUAAGUGAUAGUAAUAGUAAUAUUUAUGUUGUUCCAAUUUCAAUUUUUCCAUUUGUUACAAUAACUACACAAUAUGUUAUAACUUCGAAAGUAACCUAAGUUUAUGUUCUUAUUAUGUGUUUUGUUUGUGUUCAAUGAUUAAUGGAGUGGACAGCCUCAAGUGUUAUCUGCUCGUGUAAAUUUGACAUCCGAGUUAGCAACUGUUUCGCCUGCACCUGAAGAAAAAACGGCACCAAAUUAUCUAAAGCAAUUAGGGGAGGAACUUGCUCAACAUUUAACUACCCGUGGUUUCACUUCUACCCUUCAAGGUAUGGUUUUUUAUGUUGUUGUUUCUAUUUGUUUUCAUUAUGGGGCUCAAUGUUCCAAAUGUCUCUGUAUUUGUUUUUAUGAAUUUAUAUAAUAUAGAAGAAAGGUAACAUCUAGUGUGGUGAUACUUAAGUUUAUAGAGAGGAAAGGUACAUCCUAACGUUUAAGUAGAAACAAGAGAGCGAAAAAAAAUUGAGGAAGAGAGAUAAUAGAUCCAUAGAUGGACAAAAAUGUGAUAGAAAAUGAGAUGAAGAAUGAGAUAUCCAUUGGGUAUACAAAUGUAAUAACCCUUAUAAACAUCAUAGGCAUGUUGUAGUGAUGAAUUUUUUUGAAACCUUACCUAACCUUGGAAUUAUACUAAAAUUCUCCCAUGCAACCACAUUCAAUUCAACAGAGUGGAGUUGAACCCACACCCUCCCUCCCCAGCAGAACAAAUGAAGAAUAUUGGGAAGGUGCGAGAGAGGUGCAUGCAUAUUUUCCUUUUCAUGUACAAUGCUUGCAUUCUUUUCUCCUUAAUUUAUCACUCAAUACUCCUCCUUUAUUGGUAUUUAUAAAAUGAAUAAUUGAGAAUUUGAUAAUCCUUCUAUGUUAGUGCCUUUUGCCAAUUGUUCCUUGCAUAUUUGUCUUAAAAUUGUAUGCUUUGUUAAGCUGAUUUUCCCACAUAUAGUUACCCAUGGAAUUGGAUUUGUAUGUAAAUUCAUAUUACUGAUGAACACAUACCUCUUUCUACUCCAUUGACCAAAAAUCCCUAUUUGCCCUCCAAACACUAUUUGGUACCAAAUAUUUGUAUAUUUUUUCUUCAUUACCUCCAAUAUCUUCUCCUUUGGUAAAUCCCUAAAUCAAAUUCUCUAAUACAUCCUUAAUAACUUAACCCUCUCCUAAAUCGCUAAAUCAAAUCCCUUAAUACAUCCCCAAUCGCUUCUCCCUAUCCUCAAUCGCUAAAUCAAAUCCCUAUUUAUGGGACCUUGACUUCUUAUUCCCUAACUAACCUCAAUCCAUUACCACUUCCCCCCUUCGACAGUAUGACUAUCCUAGAGCGUGAGCUUCCUGAUUGUCUUGGCAGAGAAGUAAACUCUAUUGUCAUCAAUAAAGACUUUGAACUUUGUCACUUCUCAAAACGUGGAACAUAUACAUGUUCACAUUAGCAAUAUCUGUAAAUGGACCAGAACAGUUGGGAAACAUAUGACAUGCACCUAACCUUGUCCAACUCAAGCUUCACACGGAUGAUGGGGAUGAUGGAGCAAGGCGUGUUGGCAACAAAUAGGGACUUGAUGCCAUUGAUCAUUAGAAUUUGGUUAUCAUGGUUGUGGAAGAGACGAGACACAUGAAGAUGUUCCCCUACUAGUGGCGGUCAAGGCACAACCACUAGGGUGAACGAAUUGUAAAGAGCAAAAGCAUAGUGGUUGAUAAGGAGAAGGAGAGGGGAGUGGGUUUGGAAGGUAGAUUGAUGGAGAAUUUAAGCCACUUCGAUGUUGCUCUUGCCUCUUUGCUCGUCCUUGCUUUUCACAACCUCAGUUAUAUGCUAACAACCCCAAACCUUUACUUUUGGGUCAGUUAUUUUUUGCAUUCACUCUUCAAAUUAUUUCAAAUUUGUAGCUUUUGUCUUGUUUGAGCUUCGAAAACACCCGUUUUGUGGUUGUGUUCGGGAAAUUUGUGGCAAAAUUGAACAUUUUUUCAAUGAUUCAGGAAAAUUGGCUUGUCUUUCGCUAAAACCGGACAAGAUUGUUCCACGCUUUGAAUAUACACUUGAAGGGUCCUCUAAGGUUCCAACUUUGUUGCAGUACUCAAGGUGUAAGGUAUGGUGGUGAUUAACGACAUUCUUGCCGCUAUGUGCUUUGAAUCAUUUGAUUUAUAUACUUGUUAAUGUUAGUUUUAUCUAUAAUUGUGUUUCUACACAAUACAAAGGACAUCCAUUGUCAAAUAUGGAAGUUUUAAAAUAAUGUUGUAUUGUUAAAUAUUGAAGGUUAAGGUUUAUGAUCUUUUGUUUAAAAUAAUGCUAUUGGAAAAGUUCACAACCUUGCAUAUUACUUUGUACACCGAGUCUCUCUUUGUUGGUCACUUCUCUAUGUUGGGAUAAUGCUUCAUAUUUCUCUACAUUCGGUUGGUUUUAAAUUUCUAUUCUCUUGUGGCAUCGUUCUUUGUUGACUUCUGAGUAAAAUUGUUUUCCUUGCUAGGAAGACAUGCACCAAAGGUUCCCAUCACUGAUAGUUAUAGCGAGCAAUAUUUUGAUGUUCUCUAUGCCUGAUAUAGCUUUGGCUGAAACUUGUGAGGCUGGUAACUCUUUUUUCAAUAUGCCUAUAUUGCUAGCGGUAGCCCUCAUUGGAGCCACGGUUGGAGGUAAGGUAGUGAGAUUCCUUUAUAUGGUUAUACUAAUUUUCCUAUUCCAAGGUCUUGGAGAGUGGAACUUCAUUUUGUUGCAAGAUGUUUGAGGAAAUUAUUUUUGUUUGUUGCAUCACUGAAAUAUUUUUUGUGUGCAACUACAAAUCUUUAAAUGCACGAGUCAUGCGGAAGUUAAGAGUCUUAGCUAUGUGAAGCAUGGAUGCAUCAUGAAAGCUCAGUUUUUACUUGGUGUCUUCAGGGUUGCUUGCUCGGCAAAGAAGAAAUGAAUUACAACGAGUAAACGAGCAAUUAAUCCAAAUCAAUGCAGCGCUAAGGAAGCAAGCCAAAAUUGAGUCUUAUGCUCCUAGCUUGAGUUAUGCUCCCAUUGGUGGUGGUAGGAUACCUGAUAAUGAAAUUAUUGUUGACCCAAAGAAGCAAGAGCUAAUUUCUAAGUUGAAAAAUGGAAAGAACUUUCUAAGGAAUCAACAAUUGGAUAAAGCAUUCACAGAGUUUAAGAAUGCACUUGAGCUUGCCCAGAAUCUACGGGAUCCUAUCGAAGAGAAAAAGGCCGCUAGAGGUCUAGGUUUGUCAUCUUUCCUUUGUUGCUUAUGAAUCAAAGGGAUUCCUCAAUUUGUUUUUUGUAUGUGCGUGUGUUAGAUGAAUGCCGAAUUUUACAAGGUGCUCCAUGAAUACAAUUGAAAUAUUGCCUUACAGGAGCUUCAUUGCAAAGACAAGGAAAAUAUCGAGAUGCUAUUAAAUACCAUUCCAUGGUUUUGGCCAUCUCUGAACGAGAAAGGGAGGACUCAGGGAGUACAGAGGCGUUUGGGGCAAUUGCUGAUUGUUACACUGAGCUUGGAGAACUUGAGAAAGCAGGUCAAUUCUAUGACAAGUAUAUUGCAAGAUUGGAAAAGGACUAGCAUGACAUGUUUCAUGUGGAUUUCUUUUCUCUUUCUAAUCCCCUCUAUUUGAAGUGAUUGAUUUUUUUGGCCGGAAUUGCUUAAAUUGACUUUUUGAGGCUUCAUGGAAAGGAUAUACCAUGUUUCAAAGAUUGAAAUAUUAGUCCUUAAGGUGAGAUUGUUUAGAUAUUAGAUUAGAUUGUUCUUAUUUGCAUUUUUAUUUUGUCAUGGAUAAUGUUUGAACUUAAUGUAGUUAGUAGAUAGUUUUAUAAUUUCAAGGAUGUUGUUUGAAUUUGAUGUUUGAGUAUUUAACAUAUAAUCUCUAGGUAUUGUUGAGUUGAAUUUGUAUUUAAUGCAUGUUAUAUUGGUUUACAUAACAGGUAUAUAAUUAAUUGCAUAUUACAAAGGGAUAUUUUUGUAUUGUUAGUCAAUUGUAAGAAAUUUUUAGAUAACUUUUCAAGAUUUUCCACAAAUUUAUCAACGGAUUAAUCUAUCAGUAAUAUACCUAUUGAAUAGUUCAUGGUUAAGUUACCCAUGAAAUAAUUUGUGAGUAAACUUACACAAAAAAAUUUGUUAGUAAUAAUAAAUUUUCCUGUAGUAUGGUGUUUAUGCUUGUUAGAAUAUUAUAUUAGAUUGUUCUUAUUUGCAUUUUUAUUUUAGCAUAUAUAUCAUUGGAACUUAAUGUUAGUAGAUAGUUUUAUAAUUCCAAGGAUAUUGUUUGAAUUUGAUGUUUGAGUAUACAAUAUAUAAUAUGUAGGUGAUGAGUUGAAUUUGCAUUUAAUGCAUGUUAUAUUGGUUUAUAUAACAGGUAUAUAAUUGAUUGCAUAAUACAAAGGGAUAUUUUUGUAUGGUUAUUAUUAUAUGAAAUUUAUUUUAGAUAAUUUUCCAAGCUUUUUUUUUGCAGAUGUAUGAACGGAUUAAUCCGUCACUGAUAUAGUAAUGGAGUAGUCCAUGGAUAAGUUAUCCAUAAAAUAAUUUGUUAGUAAAUUUACUUUAAAUUUUUGGUUAGAAAUAAUGAAUUUUCUUUUAGUGUUCGGUUCCAUGUUGUUAGUAAGACAGUUUGAGAACUAACGUUUUUAUAUAUUUGACUUAAAACUUUGCAUCUCUAGUAUAAUAGUUUGCAAAUUGCUAUUAAAUAUGAAUAAAAAACUUAAAUCUGUGAUAUGAUGAUGGACAUUAUGCAUUUUCAAUACUAAAAUUUUAUUUAUGUAACCCUUUGUGGGUUAAGUGGCAGAUAAAGAAGAUAGCAUCUGAAGCAGUUAUUUCCUCAGUUAUAUAAAGAAGAUAGACUCAAUGAUAUCUCUUUUAAGAGACUAUGUUGUUAUCAAAUCUUAUAUUCUCCAUUCUCAGAUGUACAAUACAGUUUUAUAACAAUUAUUUAUGUUACAAAACAGUUUCUGUAUGAUUGUGCCAUAUGUAUGUGUGUAGAUUUGUCAAUGCACAAAUCUAUAAUUAACAACCAUUUAGUUAUCCAGAAUUUCACUUUAUGCUGAGUUGUUUGGGAUUUGUGUAUGAUACAUGCCACAUUUAAACAACUCCAAUGUGAAGAUUUUCAUAUCAGAGCAUACUUGAGAGUUAAAAGUAGAAUAUCAAUGAGUCAUGAAACACAAUUUCUUUUUAUUCUCCUGGCUCACAAUCACAUGCACUGUCUUUGGCCAUAGAUUGAAAAGAUUGGAAAGUGCAAAAAAAAAUCUCAAUAAACUUCUCUAGUUAUAUAAAAAAGAAUUACAAAGAACAAAUCGUGUUAAAAAAUUAAUCAUUUAUGUAUGUAAAUAAUAAUCUAUUCGUGUUUUGAAAUGUUAUUUUUUUUUUAUGUAUAUAAGAAUGUUUGUAAUAAUUAUAUUAUUAAUAUUUAUUGAUAUAUUGUAGUAUUAUAUAUUAAAUAUAAAAGUAUCAACUUUUUAUUAUAUAUAUAUAUAUUUAUAUAAAUUUAAAAUCAAAUUAUUUAAAUAAUAAAUAUAAUAAAAUAAAAUAAUUUAAAUAUAAAGAUGUUUAAAUUGAACAUAAUUAAUUAUGUCUCGUGAUAUUCCUAAUACGCUAAAGCCAUAUUCAAUUAUAGUUUAAUAAAACAUUUAUUUUUUAAGGCUAUCAUUGUUACCAGCUCAAAACCGUAAAAUGUAUUAUUUUAUUCUCAAAUUAACUGUCUAUAUUCGAUCUUAUUUCCACCAAUAUUAAUAUAUACAAAAAGAGAAAAAUGGAUUCUAAAAGUAGAAUUUAAAUCUCUUACCUUUAUUUUCUUUCAAUUUUGUUUUUAUCCAUUUGGUGUUCACUGAUUCAAUUUCUUUCUUUAUUUUUUAUUCAUUCACUCUCACCUAACUUUGACCUGGUUUUUAAUUUCCAAAAAAACUAUAUUGAAAGUCACAAUUUUUUUUUCUUACUUCCAUUUAACAAUCCUAUAUAUUAAUUUGAUUAUUUAAGUAAUAUAUAAAUUAAAUUAUUAAAUAAAAUAUUAAUAAAAGUGGUUAUAGGAGGAUUGUAUAAACUUGCAAACAUAUGAUAUAUAAAUACCUUUGAAGGGUUAUAUAACUACACUAAACCUAAACCUAGGUAUAAAAAUAACAGUUAUUCCUUCCGCCGCAUCAAAGAGGAUAUAUAAACCUCUCUCUAUUUUCUAUCUAUCUACACAUUUUCAUCUCAUCUCUUUCUUUCUCCUCUCCAACCCUACCAUAUCAACAUUUCUAAUGCUAUUCACACUCUUCACUGCAACUGCUCUGCAUCAGAUCAGAAUUGUUCAACACAUGGCCUCCACUCUUCAAUGGGAAUCAUAGCAAUGACUCCUUCGGCUUCGCCAUCACUCUCUACUGUGAUUUCCUUGAUUAAUCAGUUACGAAGUCUCUGUCUUACUGUCUUAAGGGUGAGUCUCUGUCUUAAGGGUGACGUAACUUUAUUUUAUUUAUUAAGACCAACCGUUUGAAUUAUGCUUGUGGUACUAGUAGAUUAUUGUAUCAUCUUAUUUAGAUUUUUGUGUUAUUUUUUUCAUGAUAAAAAUCUUAUCUUAUUGAUUUAGGGUAAGUUUAGGGUAAGUGAGAAUGGAUUGUUGGUACUAGUAGAUUAUUGUAUCAUCUUAUUUAGAUUUUUGUGUUAUUUUUUUCAUGAUAAAAAUCUUAUCUUAGAUAAUGAUAUUGAUUUAGGGUAAGUGAGAAUGGAUUCUUUAAAACGAGAAGAGUAGUAAGAAGAGUGUUCUUGAAUGAGCGUGACAAUUAUUUAUGCACUGUUCUGCACUGUCAAAAUGUCAUAACUUUCGACAUAUUGACAAUUUUAAUUUUAAAAGCAACUGUCAUACCUAUUUACUUUAAUUUACUUUAAUUUAAUUAUGUUUUAACAAGUUCUAUGUACUUUAAUUCUGAUAUUGUUGAGCACCGGUUGCAGAUAAUCACGAGAACACCUAUGUUGUAAUGUUGUAAUGUAGAUGUAUGGGGUUUAUGUCAUUUUUAUGAUCUUAAAGGGGAACAUUGUUUAUAUUUUCAAUACGUUUUUCAUAUUAAUUUCUAAAUGUAAUAUUUGAGGCUUCUAACAAGCCUGCAUCACAUUUCAGAGGGUUUGCCCGCAUCACAUAUUUACUAUUUGAAGUAAACAAUUAAUCUUUGAAAUUAUUUUUCAAAUGUCAAUCGAAAGAGUAUGUAAUUCAGAAUUUUGUAAUGUUUAAUUUAUUUAUAAACAAUAAUUAUUUCUAUAUUAUUAGGUAUCAUUAAUUACUAUUUAUUUAUUGUUAUUAAUUCUUUGUUAUUUAUUAGUUAUUUUUUAUGUAAUAUUUAUUUUAUUUAAGAAGUAAAAAAAAUCUUAAAGAGAUGAAGACAAUAUGUAAAAACAUCAAAAUAAAUGAAGACUAAUUUUUUCUUAAGAUGAAAAUGAAUGAGAUUUACACUAAAAACUCAUUUGAAAGUUCAAAAAUCGCAUUCAGAAAAAUCAAAUCAUACAUGUAAUUCAGAGUUUUGUAAUGUGUAAUAAACAAUAAUUAUAUUAUUAUUAGGUAUCAUUAAUCAUUAUUUAAUUAUUUUUAUUAGUUCUUUAUUUUUUAUUAGUUAUUUAUUAUAUACUAUUUUUUUUAUAGAAUAACAAGUUCUAUUUAUUUAAUUCUGAUUUGUUUUUUAAACUGUAACGUGGGAAUCAGAGAAAGAACACAUUAUGGAAAAAGCUUCUGACUGAUCAGUCUUACUCUAGUUAGUAAGAAAGAGAGAAGUAAAGAGAAUGAAAUAGAAAAAGGAAGAAAAAAAGGAUAAAUAAAUUAUAAUUUAGUUAAUUUAAUUAGAGUUAAAAGAAUAAAAUAUAUUUUUAUCGUCAAUAAUUUGACUUAUUAUAUGUUUAUAUUCAUUAUUAUUAUAAUAAUAUGAGAGAAAAUAAAGAAAAAACAUCCACAUAAUCAAUAAUAGUACUUCCAAAUAAAUAUUAUUAAACGCUCGAUAUCAACAGAAAUUUAGGAGCAUAAUCACCAUUUGCAAGUGUGUAAUUCCAACUCGUAAAACUAAUAUUUAUUUUAUAUUGUGAAUUUAGUAUAUUAAAUACUAAAAAGGGUAAAAACACUAAAUGAAAAUUUUCAAAUAAAAAAAUAAAUAUGAUCACAUCUGUGUUUAUCAGUGGACAACAAAUUAAGGCUGUAUAAUAAGAAAGAGAAAAGUUUCAUUAACACCGUAAAAUAUAUAUAUAUAUAUAUAUAUAUAUAUAUAUAUCUAACAAACAUUUAUAUUAUGUAAUAAUAUUUUGAAUAAAUAAAAUAAAAAUGAAUAAUAUAUUAAUUUAUUGAAAUGUGAAAUGUAUGACUGUUUAGGGUUUCACUGUUCAAUAAGAAAACUAAGAGCAACAAAAUGUGACUGUACAAUACUCGGUGUCCUGGUUCUUGCAUUUAGGUGGAAUUUGACGCAUUGAGAAAUGUGUAGUUUUUAACAUUUGGUUUUUGGUAUCAGCCUUUUCCAAACUCAUACAUGCAGAUGGCCAACUUCUGGUUUGAUGCACCGGAAAGACAAAAAACAAUUUGGAGAUCCAAAUGGCUACAAAGGAUGCAACAUUACUGAGAAUUCCAAUGCCCACUCACUGCAAUCAAACUGUAGUUUCCAAGAA